AUUUAGGUAGUUUAGUUAUAAAAUUUUAAUCUGUGGCAUUAAAGUCAACCCCGCCGUUCCUAAAUU
rnacentral:tRNA from 1 species